UUCUCCUGCCUCAGCCUCCCGAGUAGCUGAGAUUCCAGAUGAAUCCAUAUCAACAAAAGACCAAAAGCUGCACUGAACUGGAAAAGUCAUCUGUUGAUCAAUAUCCUCCCCAAACUUCUUUCCUGGGAUGUACACUGUGAUGCUUCUACUCUCCAGAACUAAGUUAAAAGAUAUUAUUUAUUUGUUAUUUAAGUUCAUUUUGGUCUAAAUGUCUACAAAUUAAUAAUAUAUUCUUAUAUAGAAUUAUACUGUCUUGACUUUGAAUAGUGAAAGAAAGUAAAUUUGAUUGUUUUGCAAGACAAUGCUUUAAGUUAGAGCAUCUGCCAUAAAAAGAACAAGGCAAAAA